GACGAACGCUGGCGGCGUGCCUAAUACAUGCAAGUCGAACGCUUCUUUCCUCCCGAGUGCUUGCCCUCAAUUGGAAAGAGGAGUGGCGGACGGGUGAGUAACACGUGGGUAACCUACCCAUCAGAGGGGGAUAACACUUGGAAACAGGUGCUAAUACCGCAUAACAGUUUAUGCCGCAUGGCAUAAGAGUGAAAGGCGCUUUCGGGUGUCGCUGAUGGAUGGACCCGCGGUGCAUUAGCUAGUUGGUGAGGUAACGGCUCACCAAGGCCACGAUGCAUAGCCGACCUGAGAGGGUGAUCGGCCACACUGGGACUGAGACACGGCCCAGACUCCUACGGGAGGCAGCAGUAGGGAAUCUUCGGCAAUGGACGAAAGUCUGACCGAGCAACGCUGCGUGAGUGAAGAAGGUUUUCGGAUCGUAAAACUCUGUUGUUAGAGAAGAACAAGGACGUUAGUAACUGAACGUCCCCUGACGGUAUCUAACCAGAAAGACACGGCUAACUACGUG
rnacentral:rRNA from 1 species